rnacentral:rRNA from 1 species
UACAGAGGUCUCAAGCGUUGUUCGGAUUCAUUGGGCGUAAAGGGUGCGUAGGCGGCGCCGUAAGUCAGGUGUGAAAUUUCGGAGCUUAACUCCGAAACUGCAUUUGAUACUGCGGUGCUUGAGGACUGGAGAGGAGACUGGAAUUUACGGUGUAGCAGUGAAAUGCGUAGAGAUCGUAAGGAAGACCAGUGGCGAAGGCGGCUCUCUGGAACGCAACUGACGCUGAGACGCGAAAGCGUGGGGAGCAAACAGG